ensembl:snRNA U2 U2 spliceosomal RNA
AUCGCUUCACAGUCAUUUGGCUAAGAUCAAGUGUAGAUUCUGUUCUUAUCAGUUUAAUAUCUGAUAUGUCCCUUACCUGAGGACAAUAUGUUAAAUGGAUUUUUAGAGCAGGGAGGUGGAUUAGGAGCUUGCUCCAUCCACUCUAUGCAUUGACCUGGUGUUGCAGUACCUCCAGAAAUGGUGCACCCCCU